rnacentral:rRNA from 1 species
UAGAGUUUGAUCAUGGCUCAGGAUGAACGCUAGCGACAGGCUUAACACAUGCAAGUCGAGGGGCAGCGGGGAGGUAGCAAUACUUCCGCCGGCGACCGGCGCACGGGUGAGUAACACGUAUGGAACCUGCCCGUAGCAGGGGGAUAAGCGGAAGAAAUUCCGUCUAAUACCGCGUAAUAACUCCGAGAGGCAUCUCCUGGGGUUUAAAGGGUAACACCGGCUACGGAUGGCCAUGCGGCGCAUUAGCUAGUUGGCGGGGUAACGGCCCACCAAGGCGACGAUGCGUAGGGGUUCUGAGAGGAAGGUCCCCCACACUGGUACUGAGACACGGACCAGACUCCUACGGGAGGCAGCAGUGAGGAAUAUUGGUCAAUGGGCGCGAGCCUGAACCAGCCAAGUCGCGUGAGGGAAGACGGUCCUAUGGAUUGUAAACCUCUUUUGUCGGGGAGCAAAAGACGCCACGCGUGGCGUUCCGAGAGUACCCGAAGAAAAAGCAUCGGCUAACUCCGUGCCAGCAGCCGCGGUAAUACGGAGGAUGCGAGCGUUAUCCGGAUUUAUUGGGUUUAAAGGGUGCGCAGGCGGAAGAUCAAGUCAGCGGUAAAAUUGAGAGGCUCAACCUCUUCGAGCCGUUGAAACUGGUUUUCUUGAGUGAGCGAGAAGUAUGCGGAAUGCGUGGUGUAGCGGUGAAAUGCAUAGAUAUCACGCAGAACUCCGAUUGCGAAGGCAGCAUACCGGCGCUCAACUGACGCUCAUGCACGAAAGUGUGGGUAUCGAACAGGAUUAGAUACCCUGGUAGUCCACACAGUAAACGAUGAAUACUAAUUGUUCGGGGAGAAUGAUCCCUGAGUGAUACAGCGAAAGCGUUAAGUAUUCCACCUGGGGAGUACGCCGGCAACGGUGAAACUCAAAGGAAUUGACGG